rnacentral:rRNA from 1 species
GACGGAGGGGGCAAGCGUUGCUCGGAAUUACUGGGCGUAAAGGGCGCGUAGGCGGCCUUCUAAGUCAGACGUGAAAUCCCCCGGCUUAACCUGGGAACUGCGUCUGAUACUGGGAGGCUUGAGUAUGGGAGAGGGAUGUAGAAUUCCAGGUGUAGCGGUGAAAUGCGUAGAUAUCUGGAGGAAUACCGGUGGCGAAGGCGGCAUCCUGGACCAUUACUGACGCUGAGGCGCGAAAGCUAGGGGAGCAAACGGG